UACACACCGCCCGUCGCUACUACCGAUUGAAUGGCUCAGUGAGGCGUUCGGACUGGCUCGGGGAGGUUGGCAACGACCACCCCAAGCCGGAAAGUUCGUCAAACUCGGUCAUUUAGAGGAAGUAAAAGUCGUAACAAGGUCUCCGUAGGUGAACCUGCGGAGGGAUCAUUA
rnacentral:rRNA from 1 species